CCGCCGGCGACCGGCGCACGGGUGAGUAACGCGUAUGCAACCUGCCCGUUUCAGCGGGAUAACCCGGAGAAAUCCGGCCUAAUACCGCAUGUGGCCGAGGGGAGGCAUCUUCUUUCGGCCAAAGGAGGCGACUCCGGAGACGGAUGGGCAUGCGUGACAUUAGCUUGUUGGCGGGGUAACGGCCCACCAAGGCGACGAUGUCUAGGGGUUCUGAGAGGAAGGUCCCCCACAUUGGAACUGAGACACGGUCCAAACUCCUACGGGAGGCAGCAG
rnacentral:rRNA from 1 species